GUUGCUCACUCUCCCUCAAGGGCUUCUGGCGUUAAUUAAUGACAAUUAUUAAUGCUUGCAGCUGCCUGCCAGGCCUGAGGCCGUUGGGGAGAGUGGACAA
rfam:Citrus sinensis cultivar Ridge Pineapple sweet orange scaffold00009_contig_207, whole genome shotgun sequence.